UGGGGUAUAGCUCAGUGGUAAAGCACAUGCUUAGCAUGCACGAGGUCCUGGGUUCAAUCCCCAACACUUUCA
rnacentral:tRNA from 1 species